AAGACAGUAUUUGAGAUAGG
rnacentral:misc_RNA from 1 species